GGGCACGGGAAGGGCCGGGGGCCCCGCCAGCCCCCCUAGCCCGUAGAAGGGCUAGCCCGAAGGCGCCAUGCGGGGGCCAGUAAUCCGGGGGCUUGGAGGUCUGAGGGGUGGGAGGCCACCCGGGGCCGGGGGCUAUGAAGCCCGUCCCACGGGGUCUACGGAGACGGGGGGCCUGCCGGAGGGCAGGCUACUACCGUCUUAGCCGAGGAAACCCGGCUAGGCCCGGAAGGGAGCAACCUAGCCUCGGACGUAGACGUUCGUGGGGGUGCGGGUGGAGCCCUCCCGGGAAGGGCCCCCACCUCGGCGCUCCAAGCCUUCGGAGACCGUGCCC
rnacentral:SRP_RNA from 1 species